UACGGAGGGUGCAAGCGUUAUCCGGAUUUACUGGGUUUAAAGGGUGCGUAGGCGGAUUUGUAAGUCCGAGGUGAAAUCUCCGAGCUUAACUCGGAAACUGCCUUGGAUACUAUAAGUCUUGAAUGACGUUGAGGUUAGCGGAAUAUGUCAUGUAGCGGUGAAAUGCUUAGAUAUGACAUAGAACAUCUAUUGCGAAGGCAGCCCCCUGGGACAAUACUGACGCUCAGGCACGAAAGCGUGGGGAGCAAACAGG
rnacentral:rRNA from 1 species